GACGAACGCUGGCGGCGCGCUUAACACAUGCAAGUCGAGCGGGAACCGGGCCUUCGGGCCCGGGGACAGCGGCGAACGGGUGAGUAACACGUGGGUAAUCUGCCCUCGGUACUGGGAUAGCCCGGGGAAACCCGGAUUAAUACCGGAUAGCCCUUCGAGCCUUCGGGCUCGCAGGAAAAGGUAGCUUCGGCCUCCGACCGAGGAUGAGCCCGCGGGGGAUUAGCUUGUUGGUGGGGUAACGGCCUAACAAGGCGACGAUCCGUAGCUGGUCUGCGAGGACGAGCAGCCAAACUGGGACUUAGACACGGACCGGACGCCUACGGGAGGCAGCAGUGGGGAAUCUUGCCCAAUGGGCGAAAGCCUGAGGCAGCGACGCCGCGUGCGGGAAGAAGGCCCUCGGGUUGUAAACCGCUUUCAGGAGGGACGAAGCCACUCGGGUUAAUAGCCUAGAGGGUGACGGUACCUCCAGAAGAAGCCCCGGCUAACUACGUGCCAGCCGCCGCCGUAAUAC
rnacentral:rRNA from 1 species